rnacentral:rRNA from 1 species
AUUGAACGCUGGCGGCAGGCCUAACACAUGCAAGUCGAACGGUAACAGAAAGCAGCUUGCUGCUUUGCUGACGAGUGGCGGACGGGUGAGUAAUGUCUGGGAAACUGCCUGAUGGAGGGGGAUAACUACUGGAAACGGUAGCUAAUACCGCAUAACGUCGCAAGACCAAGGAGGGGGACCUUCGGGCCUCUUGCCAUCGGAUGUGCCCAGAUGGGAUUAGCUAGUAGGUGGGGUAACGGCUCACCUAGGCGACGAUCCCUAGCUGGUCUGAGAGGAUGACCAGCCACACUGGAACUGAGACACGGUCCAGACUCCUACGGGAGGCAGCAGUGGGGAAUAUUGCACAAUGGGCGCAAGCCUGAUGCAGCCAUGCCGCGUGUAUGAAGAAGGCCUUCGGGUUGUAAAGUACUUUCAGCGGGGAGGAAGGGAGUAAAGUUAAUACCUUUGCUCAUUGACGUUACCCGCAGAAGAAGCACCGGCUAACUCCGUGCCAGCAGCCGCCGUAA